GACGAACGCUGGCGGCGUGCUUAACACAUGCAAGUCGAACGGAAAGGCCCUGCUUUUGUGGGGUGCUCGAGUGGCGAACGGGUGAGUAACACGUGAGUAACCUGCCCUUGACUUUGGGAUAACUUCAGGAAACUGGGGCUAAUACCGGAUAGGAGCUCCUGCUGCAUGGUGGGGGUUGGAAAGUUUCGGCGGUUGGGGAUGGACUCGCGGCUUAUCAGCUUGUUGGUGGGGUAGUGGCUUACCAAGGCUUUGACGGGUAGCCGGCCUGAGAGGGUGACCGGCGACAUUGGGACUGAGGUACGGCCCAGACUCCUACGGGAGGCAGCAGUGGGGAAUAUUGCACAAUGGGCGGAAGCCUGAUGCAGCAACGCCGCGUGCGGGAUGACGGCCUUCGGGUUGUAAACCGCUUUCGCCUGUGACGAAGCGGGAGUGACGGUAAUGGGUAAAGAAGCACCGGCUAACUACGUG
rnacentral:rRNA from 1 species